rnacentral:rRNA from 1 species
UUUUUUACGGAGAGUUUGAUCCUGGCUCAGGACGAACGCUGGCGGCGUGCCUAACACAUGCAAGUCGAACGAAGAGGUAACAGUUUAGUUUACUAAACAGUUACUUACUUAGUGGCGAACGGGUGAG